UACGGAGGGUGCAAGCGUUAAUCGGAAUUACUGGGCGUAAAGCGCGCGUAGGCGGUUCGGUAAGUUGGAUGUGAAAGCCCAGGGCUCAACCUUGGAACUGCAUUCAAAACUGCCAGGCUAGAGUACGGUAGAGGGGGGUAGAAUUCCACGUGUAGCGGUGAAAUGCGUAGAGAUGUGGAGGAAUACCAGUGGCGAAGGCGGCCCCCUGGAUCGAUACUGACGCUGAGGUGCGAAAGCGUGGGGAGCAAACAGG
rnacentral:rRNA from 1 species